GCCAGCAGCCAUAUCACCCUGCAGCUCUCAACUGGCUACCCACUGAAGCUAAUCAGGAUUGAGCCUGGUCAGUACCUGGAUAGGAGACCUCCUGGGAAAACUGCUGCUGAAAGAG
rnacentral:rRNA from 1 species